rnacentral:rRNA from 1 species
CCUACGGGGGGCAGCAGUGAGGAAUAUUGGUCAAUGGGCGGGAGCCUGAACCAGCCAAGCCGCGUGAGGGAAGAAGGUACAGCGUAUCGUAAACCUCUUUUGUCAGGGAACAAAGGCGGGGACUAGUCCCCGUAUGAGGGUACCUGAAGAAAAAGGAUCGGCUAACUCCGUGCCAGCAGCCGCGGUAAUACGGAGGAUGCGGGCGUUUUCCGGUUUUAUUGGGUUUAAGGGGUGCGUAGGGGGCCUGUUAAGUCAGCGGUAAAAGUCCGGGGCUCAACCCCGGCGAGCCGUUGAAACUGGCGGGCUGGAGUUGGGGGGAAGGACGCGGAAUGCGCGGUGUAGCGGUGAAAUGCUUAGAUAUCGCGCAGAACCCCGAUUGCGAAGGCAGGGUACCGGAUCCACACUGACGCUGAGGCACGAAAGCGUGGGUAUCGAACAGGAUUAGAUACCCGAGUAGUC